rnacentral:rRNA from 1 species
AUGGCUCUGUGGAGUGGGCUGGGUCAGGCAGCGACAGUGGCGCAGCUGGUUGGCGCGGACGUAGGCGGCCUCAUCUCCAUGAUCGUGCAGGCUGCGCUGACGGCUCGGAAGAACAGGAAUGAGUGCGAGCAACUCGCUCGUCGGGUCCUCAUGAUCGCGCAGCUGCUGCCACACGUACAGGAACCGGAGGCGGCGCAGCCGUUCACCGGGCUGGGGGACACGCUGUGGGACGCCCAUGAGCUUGUCGUGUCAUGCCAGGGCAGGAGCACAAUCUACCAGUUCGUCAUGGCCGCCAGGAUGGCCGAGAGGUUCAAGGAGGUGCAGAGCAAGAUCAACUCGUACCUCAUCCUCUUCCCUGUGAUCAGCCACAUCGGCAUAACACGGCGCCUUGAACGAAUCUACAACGUCCUCGUACAAAGUGAAUCCAUGAGGGGUGAACCGCCGCAUCCACUUCCAAAGUCGUCCCAGCUGCUGCAGGGAUACAUGCUCACUGCUCAUUUGUGGUCUCUUUCUCAGGAGUCUACGGUGAUGGCUCAGGAGGUACUGCCACAGACGACCCAGGAAUUCACGUUCGCUGAGAUGGUGGCUGCCACCAAUAACUUCGCCCUUGACACCGUGAUCGGUAAUGGCAACUCUGCAACCCUGUACAGGGGCAGGCUUCACGAUGGGCAAGUGGUGGCCAUCAAGCGCUUCAGGCAGACGCAACGGGAGUGCUUCAGGCAGACGCAACGGGAGUUCGUGCUAGAGCAAUUCGGAACGGAGCUCCACAUUCUACGACGGCUCCGACACAAACACAUUGUCCGCCUCCUUGGAACGUGUGUGAGCAAGGAGAAGCGCCCGCAAAACGGGAGGAUAACGGAGAUGGAGAGGCUGAUUAUCUUGGAGUACUUUGAGAAUCGCACCCUUUUCGAGCACCUGGACCUUCAGCAGGGCUCCUCAGCGUUGUCACCAAGCAACCAAGCAGCCUAG